UACGUAGGGGGCAAGCGUUGUCCGGAUUCAUUGGGCGUAAAGAGCGUGUAGGCGGCCAGGUAGGUCGGUUUGUGAAAACUGGAGGCUCAACCUUCAGAGGUCGACCGAAACCAUCUGGCUAGAGUCCGGGAGAGGAGAGUGGAAUUCCUGGUGUAGCGGUGAAAUGCGCAGAUAUCAGGAAGAACACCCGUGGCGAAAGCGGCUCUCUGGAACGGUACUGACGCUGAGACGCGAAAGCGUGGGGAGCGAACAGG
rnacentral:rRNA from 1 species